rnacentral:rRNA from 1 species
AUGGCGCCGCAUCACCGCCGACGGCUCCUUCCUGGCCGCCCACGCUGCCCACGCGGCCAGCUGCACGCGUAUGACCCUAGCUCCUUGGCAGUGGAAACCAUCCGCCUAUCUCUUGAUCCCAGGCCUAGGCCGAUCCGCUUUCUUUGCAACCGAACCCAUCUAAUGUGGUGCCGAGUAUUGUAUUCUCUGGACGGCCUGCUGGUGUUGGAGCCACGACCCAGCCGCUACAUUAUCUGCAACCCGAUGACCAGACAGUCAGCCAGCUUGCCGCCGUUGGCUCCACAGCCGUGCUUCACCGCCUUUGCCUGCGGCUUUUACUUGCACGGCUCCUCCAACGAGUAUCGCCUCUUGUGCCAUUGUUUGCAAGGAGAAGCCAGGGAGCACUCCUACUACAUCCUCUCCACUGCCAGCACCUUGCCUCGACGACAGGGCCGCGCACCAACUCCAGCAGACCUACCCACCAGCUGGGUCCGGUAUGAAGUUCCUGUGGCUCACUGCGGCAUCCUCCAUUGGUUCUCUCUGCACCCGGAAGCUACCCGCACCGGCAAGAUGCUGGCGUUCCAUACGGUUUCCGAGACGUUCCGCCUCAUGUCGCGGCCGCCGGAGCGACCCGGCGAUACUACCACAAGCUGGAGCUUGUUCGAGCUAGACGGCGAGCUCUGCGUCGCGGCUAUGCAAAGCGAGACAUCGCUGGACAUCUGGGUGUUGCAGGACUACAAGGCGGAGAGCUGGAUGCUGCGCCAUCGGGUCACAAUGUUAGGUGGCAGCAACGCUAUGACGAUGACAAUGGUAGUCUCCGUUGGAAGCGGCGCCAUCCUCAUUGGAAGUCGCUAUUGCGAUGUGGCCAGAUUGUACAAUCUCAAAGACAAGAAGACGCACAAGGAUGUAAUCUUCGGCCCCUCAUUACCCACCUUCUUGCUAUUCAAUGAGAGCCUCGUGUCGCAUGCCUUCUUCGAUUCGCCUCCGCACCCUGACUUUGAAUCCAUAAGCUUCUCUCCUCGCAGAGGAGGUACAGGCCGGAACCAACGCGUACCGGCGUACGUACGUUGUGGUAAAAAGAUGGAGACGGCGCGGGGUGGUGUGGGCCUGUGCGACGACGUCCUCGUGGAGAUCCUUGUCCGUCUACCGUCUAAGUCGGUGCUCCGCUGCCGCGCCGUGUGCAAGAGAUGGCGCCGCAUCACCACCGACGGCUCCUUCCUGGCCGCCCACGCUGCCCACGCGGCCAGCUGCACGCGCGAGAUGAUCAUCCGCCCCGGGCACGUGUAUGACCCUAGCUCCUUAUUGGCCGUGGAAACCAUCCGUCUAUCUCUUGAUCCCAGGCCUAGGCCGAUCCGCUUUCUUUGCAACCGAACCCAUCUAAUGUGGUGCCAAGUAUUGUAUUCUCUGGACGGCCUGCUGGUGUUGGAGCCACGACCCAGCCGCUACAUUAUCUGCAACCCGAUGACCAGACAGUCAGCCAGCUUGCCGCCGUUGGCUCCACAGCCGUGCUUCACCGCCUGUGCCUGCGGCUUUUACUUGCACGGCUCCUCCAACGAGUAUCGCCUCUUGUGCCAUUGCUUGCAAGGAGAAGCCAGGGAGCACUCCUACUACAUCCUCUCCACUGCCAGCACCUUGCCUCGACGACUGGGCCGCGCACCAACUCCAGCAGACCUACCCACCAGCUGGGUCCGGUAUGAAGUUCCUGUGGCUCACCGCGGCAUCCUCCAUUGGUUCUCUGAGCACUCGGAAGCUACCCGCACCGGCAAGAUGCUGGCGUUCCAUACGGUUUCCGAGACGUUCCGCCUCAUGUCGCGGCCGCCGGAGCGACCCGGCGAUACUACCACAAGCUGGAGCUUGUUUGAGCUAGACGGCGAGCUCUGUGUCGCGGCUAUGCAACGCGAGACAUCGCUGGACAUCUGGGUGUUGCAGGACUACAAGGCGGAGAGCUGGAUGCUGCGCCAUCGGGUCACAAUGUUGGGUGGCAGCAAGGCUGUGACGAUGACAAUGGUAGUCUCCGUUGGAAGCGGCGCCAUCCUCAUUGGAAGUCCCUAUUGCGAUGUGGCCAGAUUGUACAAUCUCAAAGACAAGAAGACGCACAAGGAUGUAAUCUUCGGCCCCUCAUUACCCACCUUCUUGCUAUUCAGUGAGAGCCUCGUGUCGCAUGCCUUCUUCGAUUCGCCUCCGCACCCUGACUUUGAAUCCAUAAGCUUCUCUUCUCGCAGAGGAGGCACACGCCAUGCUGACGCCCAGGGAGCGGGGGAUGAUGUGCUGGCGCCUGAACUACAGGAAGCUGACCCUGGAGGCGUGCAAGGACCUGUUGUCGCAGCAGCCGCCCAAGCUCUGAACCCCUUGUUUGUCGUCGAAGGAGAAGCCAGGGAGCACUCCUACUACAUCCUCUCCACUGCCAGCACCUUGCCUCGACGACUGGGCCGCGCACCAACUCCAGCAGACCUACCCACCAGCUGGGUCCGGUAUGAAGUUCCUGUGGCUCACUGCGGCAUCCUCCAUUGGUUCUCUCUGCACCCGGAAGCUACCCGCACCGGCAAGAUGCUGGCGUUCCAUACGGUUUCCGAGACGUUCCGCCUCAUGUCGCGGCCGCCGGAGCGACCCGGCGAUACUACCACAAGCUGGAGCUUGUUCGAGCUAGACGGCGAGCUCUGCGUCGCGGCUACGCAAAGCGAGACAUCGCUGGACAUCUGGGUGUUGCAGGACUACAAGGCGGAGAGCUGGAUGCUGCGCCAUCGGGUCACAAUGUUGGGUGGCAGCAACGCUGUGACGAUGACAAUGGUAGUCUCCGUUGGAAGCGGCGCCAUCCUCAUUGGAAGUCGCUAUUGCGAUGUGGCCAGAUUGUACAAUCUCAAAGACAAGAAGACGCACAAGGAUGUAAUCUUCGGCCCCUCAUUACCCACCUUCUUGCUAUUCAGUGAGAACCUCGUGUCGCAUGCCUUCUUCGAUUCGCCUCCGCACCCUGACUUUGAAUCCAUAAGCUUCUCUUCUCGCAGAGGAGGUAGCUAG